rnacentral:rRNA from 1 species
CAAUAGCGUAUAUUAAAGUUGUUGCGGUUAAAAAGCUCGUAGUUGGAUCUCGGCAGGCAGGGGGUGGUUCGCUCUUAGCGCUACUGCCCCAUUUGCCUGUGUGAUUGGCGGAGGUUUCGGGGUGCUCUUCGUUGAGUGACCCGGGGCGCCGUCAGGUUUACUUUGAAAAAAUUAGAGUGCUCAAAGCAGGCUUUUCACGCUUGAAUAUUCGUGCAUGGAAUAAUGGAAUAGGAACUCGUUUCUAUUUUGUUGGUUUUCGGAAAUCGAGUUGAUGAUUAAUAGGGACAAUUGGGGGCAUUAGUAUUCAGACGACAGAGGUGAAAUUCUUGGACCGUCUGAAGACUAACUACUGCGAAAGCAUUUGCCAAGAGUGUUUUCAUUAA